GAGUGCCUCCAUAGUGUAUGAGAACUGAUUAAGACAACUGGCUACAUUUCUGAUCCUGCCUGUGGAUAAAUGCACUGGCCUUCUGAGGACUGGUGCACCCUUUGAGAUCAACAUCACCACCAAGGGCACAGCAGCUACUAUCGAAUGGAAGCUUGUGGAGGUGGAAUUCCCAGCCUGUGAUGAAGUUUGGGAUGCAAGCUGGAGAUUUUCUCUUGUCCACCCACAUUUUGUUGUGUGGCAACAACUACGCAAAGGUUGCCCCCUUGUUCAAAUUCAUGAACAUGGGGAUGGUGAACAGGAACACCUUCUUCUCCAUUCAGGACACUUCAAUACAAUAAACGACUUCUGGGAAGAGAGACGGACAGAGGUUCUUUGUCGCCUUCAAGAGAAAGAUGUUGUUGUCCUAGCGGAUGGCAGAAAUGACUCUCCUGGUCACUGUGCACAAUACUGCAGCUACACCACCAUGGAUAAUGACACCAAGGAGAUUAU